ACUCAAAGGAAUAGACGGGGGCCCGCACAAGCGGAGGAGCAUGUGGCUUAAUUCGAUGCAACGCGAAGAACCUUACCCGGGUUUGACAUGCAGCUGCACGUCCGGUGAAAGCCGGAUUCCUUCGAGGGUGCUGCACAGGUGCUGCAUGGCUGUCGUCAGUUCGUGCCGUGAGGUGUUUGGUUAAGUCCAGCAACGAACGCAACCCCUGCGCCUAGUUACCAGCGAGUAACGUCGGGGACUCUAGGCGGACCGCCCGUGCAAGCGGGAGGAAGGUGGGGAUGACGUCAAGUCAGUAUGGCCCUUACGCCCGGGGCUGCACACGUGCUACAAUGGCCGGCACAAAGGGACGCCAGACCGCAAGGUGGCGCCAACCCCCAGAACCGGCCCCAGUUCGGAUCGGGGUCUGCAACUCGACCCCGUGAAGCCGGAUUCGCUAGUAACGGCGCAUCAGCUACGGCGCCGUGAAUACGUUCCCGGGCCUUGCACACACCGCCCGU
rnacentral:rRNA from 1 species